GACGAACGCUGGCGGCGUGCCUAAUACAUGCAAGUAGAACGCUGAAGGAGGAGCUUGCUCUUCUGGAUGAGUUGCGAACGGGUGAGUAACGCGUAGGUAACCUGCCUGGUAGCGGGGGAUAACUAUUGGAAACGAUAGCUAAUACCGCAUAACAGUAGAUGUUGCAUGACAUUUACUUAAAAGGUGCAAUUGCAUCACUACCAGAUGGACCUGCGUUGUAUUAGCUAGUUGGUGGGGUAACGGCUCACCAAGGCGACGAUACAUAGCCGACCUGAGAGGGUGAUCGGCCACACUGGGACUGUGACACGGCCCAGACUCCUACGGGAGGCAGCAGUAGGGAAUCUUCGGCAAUGGACGGAAGUCUGACCGAGCAACGCCGCGUGAGUGAAGAAGGUUUUCGGAUCGUAAAGCUCUGUUGUAAGAGAAGAACGAGUGUGAGAGUGGAAAGUUCACACUGUGACGGUAUCUUACCAGAAAGGGACGGCUAACUACGUG
rnacentral:rRNA from 1 species